rnacentral:rRNA from 1 species
GUAAUCGCGCAUCAGCCAUGGCGCGGUGAAUACGUUCCCGGGCCUUGUACACACCGCCCGUCAAGCCAUGGAAGCUGGGGGUGCCUGAAGUUCGUGACCGCAAGGAGCGACCUAGGGCAAAACCGGUGACUGGGGCUAAGUCGUAACAAGGUAUC